UUUCCUGAGCAUCAGAGAUCCCCCUCCUGAUUAUUUUGCUCUGGAGGCAGCUCAUGUAAAGACAUACCAAGCUUGGUAUGGGCAAUUUCUGUUGCAGGAAGCAAUCACUACAACUUAACCAUUCACUCUGUUCAGACCUUAACUGGGCUGCACAGUGGUUUCCCUUUCAGGAGGGAUGAAGAGCUUGUCUCAACUGCUGACUGAUCACUCAGGAAGAAAAAUGGGAGCUAUGGAUCCAUGGAAAAUAUCCAGGUUGCUGAGCAUAGAACCUCUAUUGUUGAUGACUGGGCAUGAGCCGAUAGGAUUCUUUUCUAGACAGCAUGAGAAAGAAAGAGUGGCAGCAGCUAACUGUGUUCAAUGAGUGGCCUGGCCUGGCUUGACCUCCUGGGGAUUUCCUGUUUCCACCUGGAAAGCUAUUCUAUUUUGGGAUUAAGCGCCAGAUUAAAAAAAAUACUCAUAACUGCCAUGGUAACGUACCUGAAAUAAAUUGUAUACUUGUCAACGGAAAUUCUCCUUUUUUGCUGUAAAGUACAAGCCUGAUAUUGAGCUGGGCUGGAAUGAGGAGCAAGUCAUGCUGGGUCCAGCCGCCAGUGUCACUGGCUCCACACUAAUCCCUUUUUCAGUACUGAACACCAGCGUU